GUAUCGAUGUAUGAAGUGUGUGAACGUCCAUGUGUGUCAGAGCUGUUUCCUGACCGACCGACACACCAAGAAACACAAAGCCCACCAUCCAGUGCUGGAGUUCUGCACACAGCCCACCUGGAAGGAGUCUCUGUCCUCAUUGGCGCACAGUGCUUGUAACGCCCUGUUGCCACGGCGAUACACUCAGCGAGAAGCUGAUAGGAAGAGAGUGCUGAUGUGGGCGGAGGGGGCGGAGACACAGAACAGUGCCCCACCCCCCUCUGAUGCUUCAACACAAUUGGCUAAUGCGGCCGACUCUGACCAAGAUGUUUCCCAUGAUGCCUGGAAACACCCAAACACUCCCUGCCUGUCCAAAGCCCUGCAGACAGAUGAUGAGACCCCAGCUCAGCAGGUGACCCCCGAGGACCACAGUGUGGUGACUGUAUUGAUUAAGCAUUGAUUAUUUCUGAUUUGUGUAUUUCCUGCUGGAGGCGUCGGCUCUGCUGACAGAAGUCAGAAACCUGCAGAGGGACAAAUGGUGAGACUGAAACGUCAGACAAACAUGGCUGCCGGGCUUGUCCUCGUCACGUUGGCGUUCUCUUUUCAGGCUGUUGGAACAGCAGCUGCAGGCUUGGAGGCUCACCGUCCAAUCAGAGCAGGGCAUCCUUGAGGACAGGUGUGCUGAGAUGGAGGUUACCAUGGAAACGCUCAGACAGCACAACAACCGUCUUCAGGCCAUGCUCACACAGGCUCUGAACAAGAUGGCUGCUCAGCAAGACACCAACAACUCACCACAGAGUGUCAACACCACGCUAACCUCUGAUGCUCAGAGGAACACCAACGAAGAAGAGGACGAGGAGGACGAGAAUGAGGAGGAAGACGAGGAGGAGAAUGAGGAGGAAGACGAGGAGGACGAGGACAGAACACAAACUCCAUCUCCCACAGUCUACCAGAGCUCACCUCUGACUUAUGAGGAACACUGUGAGGUGAAGGACGACAUCCAGCAUCCAGCAGGACGAGAUGGAGCUGAGAAGGCAGAGCUACAGGUGGAAGACCUGUCUGAGGGAGAGGAGGAUUGUGGGACGUGUAGUCCAGAGAAGCGGCUGCAGGAGGCUGUGAACAGGCUAAAGGCUGUGAUGGAAGUGGACAGGUGGACAGAGACACACACAGGUGUGUCUAUUGUCUAUUGA
rnacentral:lncRNA from 1 species